rnacentral:rRNA from 1 species
GACGAACGCUGGCGGCGUGCUUAACACAUGCAAGUCGAACGGAAAGGCGCUGCCUUUGUGGGGUGCUGGGGUGGAGAAGGGGAGAGUAACACGAGAGGAACGUGACCUUGACUUUGGGAUAGCUUCACGAAACGAAGGCGAAGACAGGAUAGGAGAUCCUGCGGCAGUGUGGGGGUUGGUAAGGUUCGGCGGUUGCGGCGGUGCGGGAUGGUUAUGAGGCGGAUGGGCGGGUUGGUGGGGUAGUGGCUUACCAAGGGGUUGGCGGGUAGCCGGCCUGAGAGGGUGACCGGCCACACUGGGACUGAGAUACGGGCCAGACUCCUACGGGAGGCAACAGUGGGGGAUAUUGUGCAGCGGGCGGGAGCCUUGUGCGGCGGCGCCGCGUGCGGUAUGACGGCCUUCCGGUUGUGAACCACUUUCGCCUGUGACGAAGCGUGAUUGACGGUAACGGGUAAAGAAGCACCGGCUAACUACGUG